rnacentral:piRNA from 1 species
UGGGUACCAACACACGUGGUCCUGUGUGA